rnacentral:lncRNA from 1 species
AGCUCCUCCAAGGCCGGCAGCAGGGACUCCUUCCUCUGUCUUUUGAUACUAUUAAGAGGCCAAGACCCAAGGAGAUGAAUGGGUUAGUGGUUGAUCUGGCAUCACACUCUUCUUACCGGCUUAAGCUGGAAAAAGAAGAAGGAAGAAGAAGAAGAGGAGGAAAGAAGGAGGAGGAGAAACAGACACAGCAGCAGCAGCAGAAGAAGAAGAAGAAGAAAAAGAAAUUCUGCCUCAAAACUGCAAUGUAGAACCCCCGCCUGUGUGUUUAGUUUGCAGAUUUUGGACUCAAAACUGAAACAUCAGCUCUUACCCGAAUUUCCAACUGUGCUCCUGCUCUACAGAUUUUAGGUUUCCCACCCUCCACAAUCACGUGAGCCAACUCUGUAUUUGCAUCUAUGUCUCCUAUUGGCUCUGUUUCUCUUGAGAAUCCUAAUACAUCUGCUGAUUCACAAUGAGAAAAAAUCGUGAAAGUUAAAGUUGGACUUGAUUGAGUAACUGAA